CCUGACCAUAGCUCUGAAGAUGAGUACAUCUUUUGCAAGUCUUGAUCUGUGCACCUCUUCAACUGAUGACCAGCAUGAAAAAAAUAUGAUUAUGAUUAGGCUUUUUGCAAGUCUUGGAUUUGUGCACUUUUUAAUUAGGGAUGGAUGGCAAUAUGCCAAUAUGAUUGCCGUAGCUUGAGGCUUUGAGGUUGAUGAAGGUCCAAGUCUGUUUGGAGAAGGAAACAUGCUAGGAAACAAAGUGUGGUCAUGGUCCGCCGCAAGAAAAGAGGUGCAUUUCGUACUAUAUAUACUUCUUUUCUCUAUUGGAUCAUUUAGUGUGAAAAUCCAACAUUUUUUUUGGCUCUAAGUGAACAGAUGUUUUUUUGAAGGGCUCGGGUCAUGAAAAUUGAACUGUGAUUAUCCAAUGGUUAUUGUUAUUACUGUUGCAACCGGACGCCAUUUGAUGUUAUGCUUGGACGGAUGAACACAUUCAGAUUUAUUAUUACUUGGAGACAAGAUGUCAAAUAUAUGUUCUGGUCAUCCAUGGGAACUGUUUGGGAGGGUUGUGUUUGCACACGCUUUUGCUUGUACAUAAAGAUUUAUGUUCUAGAAACCAGUGGAAAUCAUUUUUGGUCUGCAAUUGGCUGUCGUAAACUGAAUCAUUUUUGGCAAUGGGAAUGCGAUCAAUUUGCACACAUUUAA